rnacentral:rRNA from 1 species
AUGGGAAACUUCCCACGCCCCGCCGCCGAUGGCCUCUACCACCGCCACCUAGCUGGCGACGCCGCCGCCGCCCCGCCCCAAGCCAGCGACACCGCCGGAGCCCCGCCCCCAACCGACGACGUGCCGCACCACCUGCUAGAGCAUCUCGAGGUCGCCGGAUCUGACGAAGAUCCUUCACCACCGUUCACUCUCCGAGACUCCGACGACCACCAGCCCACGCGCGGAUUGGGUGCUAUGCUGCAAAUGGAGGAGACGUCGAACUCCAGAUGGAGGAGGCCACGACCUGCAGCCGGCCUCGCACAACCGCCGUCCUAUGCCAUGGAUCGAGCAGCCGCCAUCCCCAGCGGGUCCCCACGGCCACCGCGCAGCCAUCCCCUCGGGUCUGCACUACCUCCGCCGACCCCCGCCACUCACCACCCGACGCGUUGCCGCCCGGACGGAUCCGUGCCGCUCCUCCCCCUCCUGGUUGAUACCACCCCAGCGCCUCCUCGGCACCCAGCAUGGUGUGGCCAUCGUUCCCAGCUCGAUCAUUGUCUCUGUUCGAUAUUUUUGCAAUACCAGAGUUCAGAGUGA